GCACGUUGCAUGGCAUGGGUAGUGUACAAAGAAAACUCAACACCAGGACGAUCCAUUGCUACCUAAAGUUAAGAUAUGACAAUCACAGUCGCAACUCCUUCUCAUAUGAGUUCAACAGUCACAAGCAGGACGGAAGUCAAACAUUCACUAUUAUAGAAACCAGUGGCCGUUCACUCAUUCAGCUGUUGUGCAACACAGAGUCUAAUAGUCCAACAUGUCCAAACUAUGGGAAGCAAGAGGAAGACCGUAUCCGGCAGCAGCAGGAGGAGAUGGAGCGGCGAAGACAGGAGGAGCAACGACUACGACAGCAGGAGGAGAGGAGGCGCCAGGAGCAACUGGAGAGGGAGAGGGCGAUCCAGCAAGAAAUCGAAAGGGAGAGCGAACUUUGGGUAAGAAGAUGUCAAAGGGACGAGAAAAGCUGAGACAGAAGCUGAGACUAAAAGGACAACAGCGCCAUCACCAGCGUACACAGGUACUACACCAGAUGAUAGAAGAUGACGCUGCAGCAAUCAGAAGGGAUGAGCCAUGGGACUUGAAAAAUAAGUUUGAAGAUCUUCUGAAGAAAUACGAGAUCACUGAAGACAAAGGCAUGCAGGAGGACAAACUUGAAAACAGAAUGAAAACUCUUCAGAAUGAACUAACCCUUAAAUACUUUGGAGAGCCUCAACUGUCAAUCUGGUGUCAGUUGACCAUAGAUCGUGCUAUCAGCCAAGGAGAGCAAUCGCUCACUGAGCAGUUUAGCAUCCUCACGGCUGUGACAGAGCUAACGUUGACCAAUGACUCGGACACAGACAGUAAAGAGGACCAACUACUUGACUGGGACCAGAAGUGUGACUUUCUCAUCCGUCUUCUUGAACAGCUGUACAGCACAAAUCCCACAGUGGCUCAACAACUUGUUCUGAGCAUUCUUGAUGUGUUCACAGAGGUGUCAGAGAAAAACAAGGGGCUCCUUAGUCAAAUUCUCUUCAACAUGAUCUGGACACCUGCAGAAAUUCUGCUCUUUUUGCGAGGUGUUUCAGGCAUAAACCAAGAGUUAGCAACCUCAAUCCUUCAUACUGUGAGGACAAACAAGCUGGAUCUUCUCUCUACUCUCUCUGCCUUGAAAGGUAAAGACCCUGUCAACUCUCUACAAUGGUAUGCUGAGGCAGAAGGGAACAAGGAUGCCGACACCAUUGUGAAUGAAAUGCAAAAUGAAAAGUACCCAGAGAAAAUAUUGUCCAUAAUGAAGGAAAUUCUAGGAUAUAUGACAGAGGAACUUCCAAAACAUGCAAAGGAGGACUUGGAUCAGGUAAAGAUAGAGGAAGCAAAGCAGAUGAUCAAGUCACUGGAUUUUACUAACCCUGACCUUGCUGUUCUCAAGGAGGUCCUAAUAAGGAUGUCUAUUGCUGUGCAAGACUGCUCAACCAUUUACACUCAAAACGGUAAAAACAUAGAAGGCUACUUUCCUAGCAUCACUCCGCUGGAAUCACUGCACACUGCUGAGAAAAUAGAAGGCUACUUUCCCCGACUCACUCAGUUGGCAUCACUGCUCAUGCUCCUUCUACCAAAGUUAACAGGGAAAAAAGGUAUCCUUCUGGAAAUCGGCACAGGUGAAGGAAAAUCUUGCAUCUUGGCUAUGUUUGCCACCAUCCAGGCCAUCCGUGGCACUAAGGUUGACGUUGUGACCAGUUCUCCAGUCCUUGCUCGCCGAGACCAAGAGGAGUGGAAGAAACUGUAUGACAUGUUUGGUGUCACAUCCUCUGUUGUGCCACCACCACAGAUACAGGGAAGCUCCCCUGAAAGCAGGGAUAGUAUGCUACAGGAGGCUUACAGGAAACAAUUAGUUUACGGAACCGUUGCCAGCUUUGCAGCAGACGCAUUGAGGCAGGAAUUCGAGAAGGACACCACACGUGGGGAGAGGAGGUUCGACAUGGUGAUUGUGGAUGAAGUGGACUACAUGACCUUGGACAAUGGAGUUCAGGUGACGUUUCUAUCCCACGAGGCAAGUGGCCUGAGGCACCUCGGACAAGUCCUUGCUAGCAUAUGGGCCAUGGUAUCUAUGUGUCAGCCAAUUGAGAUGGAAGAUACUGGAGAGAUUGAGUGGGCAACUGGAAUCCAGCAUUUUCACAAGGCUGCAAAGUUAGCUGUUAUCGGUCCAGCGACAUCUAAAGAAUUCUCUGAAUUUCACAUUUUGGAAGCCGGAGUGGAGUUGGGUAUCUAUUCAGAUGAAGAUUUUGAUAUGUUCAUGCAUGCUCUAGAGAACACAGAGAAUGACGAUACAACGGAGAACAGGAUAACUGUUGAUACAUUCUUGGCCAAAGUUGGAAUUACUCAACAGUGUGAUCUGCUCACCAUCAUGGAGAAAGCACUGGAGAAUGAUGUGGCCAUUGACUGUUACUCUGUGACAAACAAUAAAGCCGUGCUGGUUGAGGAGAAAAAGUUGCACAACAACCCUGAUAUCCUGGAAAUCAAAAUGCUUCUCCUCGAGAAUGGACGAGCCAGCGAGAUCAUACCUGAAGACAAACUCAUUAAGGCAACAGUCUCUGAGCUGAAGUCUAAAAUCAAAUAUUCUGGCAGCUCUCAGUCAAACUCAGAGUUUCUUGUGAUCCCCUCUUUCCUUGAGAAGUACCUUGAGAAUCAGUUACCAGUCUUUGUGGAAAACGCCCUGAAAGCCAUCAUGAUGACACAAGGCAGAGAGUACAUGAUUGAUCAGACCUUGGAAGCUGUCGGAGACAAGCAUCACUACCAUGCUAUCAUCCCAGUGGACUUCCAGGCCAGUGGAGUGUUGGAGAAGAACAAACGCUGGGGGGACGGCCUGCAGCAGUUUCUGGAGAUGAAACACCAGCUGGCAACCACUACUUUGUCCAAUGUGACUAAUUACCUUUCAAACUUCCAUUACUUUCAAAAGUACCUGAAAGGGAAUGGGAUAUUUGGUGUGUCUGGGACAUUAGGGGGUGAUGCCGACAAAGAUUUCCUUGCAAGGCAUUAUGAAACAGACAGCUACAUAAUACCAGCUCAUCGCCAUAAGAAGGUUGUUGAGCUUCCAGCAAUUCAGGUCAAUGGGCAAGCCCAGUGGAUGGAGAUCCUCUGUAAGACAGCAAUGAGGGUGGCAGAAAGUGGUCAGGUUGUCUUGGUCAUGUGAAGAUGUCAAGACUGCAAACAAGCUUCUGAAGAAAAUAGAGAGCGAGAAUCCACAUCCCCCCAUCACAUUAUACACAAUCAGUGAGAAACACAACAUUGAGAGAACCAAAUUCAGAGGGGGACAUGUAAUCAUAGCCACAAAUCUAGGAGGUCGUGGAACUGAUAUCAAGGUUGAUCAGGAUGUCAACAUACGUGGUGGCCUCUUCGUCCUCCUGACACAUUACCCUGGCAGUCGCAGAGUGGAGAAACAGGUGUUUGGAAGAACUGGUCGGAAGGGAAACCCGGGCAUGGCCCAGAUGAUCCUCUGUGGGGAUAACCUUGCCCCAGCAUACCAGGGCCAGCCUGUGGAGAUCAUGAGACAAUUGAGAGAGGAGUACGAAGUCCAACGCAUCAAAGAUAUGGAGACAGAUGAGCUUCUCGAAAUAAAAAUGAAAGAGGAUCUGUUUGGCACGUUUUGUGAAUUUCUUGACAAGUUUCAUGGCAACUUCUCAAAACAGGAGAAAGAUGACCUGUCAGGAAUGGGGCCGAAUGAUGUCCCUGAGUGUUUUAAAGAAAAAGGCUCUAAGUUUGAUUACCAGCCUGCCCUCAAUGCUUUGAAAGAAACAUGGUCAUUGUGGCUUACCCUUCACGAGGAGCACAUCCGUCAGCACGAAGAUAUCAGUGUUCUUAAAGCAGACCUUCUUGAGCAUAUCACAAAUAGGGGCAACAUGCUGCUGAAUGGAAAAAGUCAAAACUUCUAUGACCACAUUAAGCAGGCUAUCGGCAGAACAGACUUGCACCUCCGCAACAAAAGUAAGUGUGACUAUGAAGCAAAGUCCUACUGGAAAGAUGUUGAAGAAUGUGACCCUUUUUACAGUGCCGUGGCAAUGUACAACCAAGCUUUCAUCACCAUAAACAUGGGAAAAGAUGGCUACAAAACAGAGGCACGGAAAUUACUGGAAAGGGCAAAGACAUCUGUGGAUGUUUACUUGUCAGAAACCACAAAUACCAUGGUUUCUUUUCAGAUUGCCACAAGAGGCAACUUUGAACCACAUCAUGAAGGAGAAUGCAACUUUCUAAAGCAAAUAGAUUCCAGGAUGAGCAUUCACCAAGCUUGGAUACGUAACAUUGACCUUGCAGUAAAUAAACUUAAAGAGCUUGAGGGUGAAGGCACAGCCAUAACAGAGGUAUCCUCAGUGUACAGCCUCUCAGAAAAUCAAGACUACAUCACAGGAAAUGAACUCACGGCCUUGUAUGACAAUGGCCUGAGCAUUGUGUUUGAGGUGAAAAAGAAGCCAGAGUUCAGCUUUGACGCUUUGAUCUGUUUCUUCAUCGGUAUGUGUCAGGUCAUCCUUGGAGUUCUGGUUUGUGCCCUGUCGUUUGGCUCUGCAACCCAGAUUGGCUUAAGUAUCAUCUCUGAAGGAGUCUCUGACAUGAUUGAAGGGAUAUCUGGCAUGAUAUCAGGCACAUUCGAUUGGGUACAAUGGGCCAUCUCCAAAAGCAUCAGCAUUGGGAUGUCUCUGCUCUCCGCAGGGUUCAACGCCAUUAAAAAAGUUGUCACCACAGCAUAUAAAGUCCUCAAUGGUACUUUGAAACUCUCAUCUGUUGCAAAGGAAAUCAUUGGCACAGGAAAACAUGUUUUCAAGUCCACACAGAAAGCAGCAAAGUAUGCAAUUAAGACAGCAACGAAGAAACUGGCAUCCCCUACAAACAUGAAGAUGGCUCUAAAACACGCAACCAAGUACGCACUUCAGGAGGUAGGGAAGCAGGGUGUAAUCACAGGAAUAAACUAUGCCAUUGAUGCUGGAAUUGGGGCCAUCUUUAAAACAAUUUUAGAAAAAGCUUUCAAAGACAUGGUCAAUUCAACAGUCAAAAAGAAUGCCGAACUAGAUCUUAGUCUCACUGAAUACAUUAGCUCUGCAGUACCUAAAGGAGCUUUGCAGAACCGCAGCAACUAUAAGAUUGACUCAAAGCUUGAACAACAAACAAAAGAUUUAGUUCAAGUUAUGACAAAAGAACUUAUUCCUGGCCUCAUGACUGAUGCCACCACAUCCCAAGUCAGUGAUGUUAUCAGCAGACUCUCUGAGGUGUGCAAUAAUGCAACUGACCUUGUGGCAAAAAGUGGAAAACAUUUGAUUGCAAAAGGAGUCAAAAUAAGUGUAGAAAUAGCUAAACACACCACAAUCUUGGUCCAAAUGAUUCGGUCUAUUCCUACAGAACAUGUUAUCAAUGACAUAUUUGUCCUCAAAUUAAAAAAAGAAAUUGAAGAGCAGCAAAGAUAUGUGGGGCAGUAUGAUCAAGAUGGCAGACAUGAUUUACCAGAUGUGAUUCGCCUAAAGGAUGAGCUCCUAAGCUCCAUUUCGGAAAGUGUCUCCGAAGCGUUCAUAGAUGCUUGUGCUGGUCAUAUGUCCUCUUUUGUGACGGGAACAUUCAAGAAGAAGCUCAAUGGAGUUACUGGAAAGGUUGUUGACAAUGUACUUGGCAGACACAAAACUGAGGCCUUUUUCCAGGACCGGCAGCAUAAACAUGAUAUGAAGUCAGCCAGUCAGAAGGCUGGGAAAGCUCUGUCAGAGACUGAAACAAAAGAACUUCUGGACUAUGCAGAGAAGAUUGGUGAUGUUAAUCGACCAGCCUCGGCCCUGGACAUUUAUGUCCUCACAAACAGUGACCUGCUCCAUGGUAAAGGCAUCCAGUUCAAAGUGGUGGAUCAAGAUGGGAAAACGCUCUCAGAGGAGUCCUACCCGGGAACGAACAGCUCAGCCGGCCAAAUCACUCUACGGCUGACCAAAGAGCCUGAGAAAACACACAGUGAGAAAGGAAUCCUCUCUAAAGCAAAAGACAGAAUCCAAGGAGUGGAAAGUCCAUACAGUGGUCACUUUGACAUCAUCCAAGAUGGGAAAGUAAUCCCUGUGCGCUCAGAGAACAAGAACUGCCUGUACCAUGCCCUAGCACAGGCAACAUCUAACAGGUCUGAGGAUGAGAUCACGAGUCAAGCUGUGAAUCUACGAAACAAUGUUAAAGACCAGGUACUGUACGUCUACUCAUGUCUAUGUAUAGUUUAAAUAAUUCUUAAACUAAGUAACUUUCUGAAAUAUGUCAUUUUCAUCAAAUCCAACGAAAGAACACAGGAAAUGAAGAUGGUUGGUAGAUACCAACUGUAUGAAUAAAAUAAAUGAAUAUAACAUAUUGCAUCUUUAACCUUGGUUGUGGAGUAAUUGGAGUUAUUGAUACCUGUUAUGUCUUCCCAUAGAUUAAAGGGAGCCUUCAGGCUUAUAGUGAAAUGGUUCAAACCCAGAAGGCCUAUGAUGCACUCGAGAAAAAUCAUGGAAAAUAUGCUAUAGUUGGAGGGGCCAGGAAUAGAAAACGGACGAAUGAUGGGGAAUAUGAACAUGAUAUCAGGCCCAUGAAGAAUUGUCCUUAUAGUUCCUCAGGGAUAAAUGAGUAUGACAUAGCCUUUACGUACCACCUUGGAUUAGUUGGUCCUAACAAAAGCGUCAAAAACACCAAACUUUUCUCUGACAACAUGGGGGAAAGAGGCAUUGUGGAGGCAGACCAUAUCCCACCAAAGAAUUCCCUGAAGCUGGCCAGAGACCAAAAAUCUGAGAUGAAAAAUCUUCAACAGAAGAAUCCGAAGCUUUAUGAUAUGAUAAACAGCAUUGAAUCAGAUCAAAAUGGAGGGAACCUGCUCACAAUGCGGGUUCUCAAACAGCAUCACAGGAAUGCUCUAACCACUGGAAGGAGUAAGACAUCUGUCAUCUGCAGGAAGCUGCUGGCGGAUACACUUGCAAGCGGAGAUGUGGAGAAAUUACUGAAGUUAUCUUUCAUCAUGGCUCAUCCAAUUGCUUCCGACCAGCUCAGAGACAAAGCAGGAAAGCCCAAUAAACUUACCCUGGGAUCCAUUGAUUUAUCUCCUGAAGGAACGGUGUUCUACUAUAAAGCUGGCUUCAAUCAGAUGCUGAAUCACCAUAGUAAAGAGGGGAUCAUCGACGAGAAUCAGCAGGCGAGGCUGAAGUCCUGGGUGUCCGAUAAGAAGUACAUGGACCCGGACACCCCAGAGUACAACAACAUCCUUGCAGCCAUCCAGUAACACAACCUCCACUGGAGACAUGUUAGUAAAGGGAUAAAAUCAUACUUUUAUAUUCAGCAUAAGAAUAUCAUGAAUUCAGUAUAAUCAUAAGGUGAAUCAUUUCUUGUUGAACCUUAGGUGAAUGACAAUUUGACCUUUCUACUGCUGCAUAAUUACUAUACUUUUUUUGUUUGUGCUUCCACAAGGUAGCCUAUGGCUUUUCAAAAUAGAUACAGUAACUUAUGUGCAAGGUGCAUGAGAUGUAAGCUUGCUAAAACAACUAUAGGUUCUUUACAGUAAACUGUAAAUUGACUUUUGAUUUUGUUUCAUUCAGUACUGUAUGCUAUACUGGGUGCCAAAGUUCAUUUCUCAAUGUCAUAAUAUUUACUGAUGUCAUAAUAUUUAAUGUUUGUAGUUUCUUAGUGUUGAAUAAUAUAGCCUACUUUCCAUUUUAGUGUAAUGAUCAUGAUAACCUUUUAAAAUCAAAUCAGAAUGUAUUUGUCGCAUGUGCAGAAUACAGUGAAAUGCUUACCCACAAGCCCUUAACCAACAAUGCAGUUUUAAGAAAAAAGAAAGAAAGAAAGAAAUAUUACAAAUAAUUAAGGAGCAAUAAUAAAAUAACAGUAGCGAGACUAUGUAUUUUAUGCUCAUCAUCAGUGGUUUCACAGUCAAAUCAUGGUCUCAUUGGCAGUGUUUAUCAUGUAUUGGAUUUCUUUACUAUUGGAUUAUGGAUGAUUUUAUAUUUACUCAAUCCAAGGUGGUGUUUUAAGCCAUUUGAAUAAAUGUUUGCAUUCUCAAAAAUAUUAUCUGUAUUUGAAACUAUUGAUAAUAAACUGAUUUAAUUUGCAAGACUACUAGCAAUGUG
ensembl:lncRNA